rnacentral:rRNA from 1 species
AUUGAACGCUGGCGGCAGGCCUAACACAUGCAAGUCGAGCGAGCGGCGGACUGGUGAGUAAUGCCUAGGAAUCUGCCUGGUAGUGGGGGAUAACGUCCGGAAACGGGCGCUAAUACCGCAUCCCCUCAGCUGUGCCCCGAUGGGAUUAGCUAGUAGGUGGGGUAAUGGCUCACCUAGGCGACGAACCCUAGCUGGUCUGAGAGGAUGAUCAGCCACACUGGGACUGAGACACGGCCCAGACUCCUACGGGAGGCAGCAGUGGGGAAUAUUGCACAAUGGGCGCAAGCCUGAUGCAGCCAUGCCGCGUGUAUGAAGAAGGCCUUCGGGUUGUAAAGUACUUUCAGUCGGGAGGCGUUACCGACAGAAGAAGCACCGGCUAACUCCGUGCCAGCCGCGGCGGUAAUAC